UUCUUAUCAAGAGAAGCAGAGGGAACUGGCCCGGUGAAGCUUCAGCAACCUCUGACACUGUCAGAAAGGUGCUACCUCCAACAAGACCUAGGUCUUGAGAGAUAAGGU
rnacentral:ncRNA from 2 species